rnacentral:lncRNA from 1 species
UAACAAAUGUCAUAAAUCUGACCGUUUUCAUUCGGUCACAUAGACGAAAAUUAUUACUUCAGGUUGACAUUUGCCAUUAACGUGGGACGAAGAAUCAAAAGCACAUGUGCAUUAGUGCACGUCACAGUUUAGCGCUUUGUCAAAGUGAAAGUUUCUGCCCAUUUUUCCCACGAAUUGCCUUUUAAAGUCCUGUGAUGUUGCGCUACUUUGGCCGCCCUAUCCGGAGGGUCACGGAGCUCCGCUGGCCAAUGAAGAUGGAUCGAGGGGCGUCAACAGCACUGGGAGUGUCAGCCUGCGGGCAAACACGAGAGACAUUGAAGUGAUUGAGCCCAGUAGUGCCGUCCGCGACACGUUGAGUGGCGCUGUGGAAUCUGCGGCUCUCGCGCUUCCGCUGUUAAACGCUACCUGAUCCUUCACAGGGAUCGAGAGGCCGCCGUCAGCCCGGUAUCCCUUUCAGUCUCGGAACAAAACACAGUCUAAUGCAGUCAGUCAAAUGCGGGACCGGCCAAGGUCGUCUGAGCCUGUCUGAGGAGCAGGAGCAAAAGCUGGUCACAUUGCGUUUGACCUCAGUGAACUUUCGAGGCUUCUGCACAGUGUACAUUUAAGACAAAAGGAGCAGCCCUCGGGAGUCUGAAGGAAUUGAAUCUGUGACCAUCUCAACAUCAUCUGCUUGAACGAGAGCUUUUCACUUCUCAAGCUGCGGAUUACUGUGAUGUUUUUAUCAGCCGUUUGGACUCUCGUUCUGACGGCACCCAUUCACUGCAGAGGAUCCACUGGAGAAUUGAAGGCAGGAAUUCUGGAAUCACCUCACAUCAUUCCUAAGGAAAAACAUGGACCCCCUCAUCUCGGCAACAAACACCCUCAGCUUCCUGCAGGGAAUGCACUUUCUGAACACUGUCCAGGUAAGGAUUUAGGGGCUCAGAUUUAUGACCAAGGUGGGACCCCACAGCUGGGGUGGGGAUUAGCCCCAGGCCAGAGCAGGAAGGUUUUUGGGGGAAUAAAUCAGGGGGUCUUGCGACAACUGAAGAAGUCUGGAGCAGAAAGCUGAUCAUCAUGGAGAAAAGGAUAAGUGAGGAAAAAUUGAGAAAUUAUUUCUUUUUUUCUUUUUUGUGCAAAGAUUCACGUUUAGCGUGAAAAGGUGACACUUCAUGUAAGGUUUGUUCAAAUCCAAAAGCCCAAAUACACCUACUGUAAUAUAAAAUGAAACCUGACCUAGUAUUUAUAAAAAUGGAAAAUUAAGCUAAAUGAAUGAAUCUAUAUAAAUCUAUAUAAAAUCUAAAUGAUGUAGUUGAAGAAAUAUGUAUUUUUAAAAUAUAUGACCUUUUUAUAGGUAAACAUUCCAUUUGAUUAUUAGUGUAUUAUGUAUUAAAUGCAUUUACCAUUGUUCAACAAAUUUUCGCAGACAAAGGGCCUUAUCAUACACCUGGCGCAAGGCUCGGAGCAAGUAUUUUUGCUAGUUUCAGCCCGACGCAGUUCUCAUUUUCCCCAUCCUGUGCCGCGUUGUAUGUAAAUAGGAAAUGCAGUUUAUAUCCCUUUGCAGGGAGUUUGACUGACAGGCAAGCUGCCCAAUCAUAAUGCUGAAUUUUUGUCCAACAAACAAUACAUACAGGAGAGCAGAUUAACGUUGGUGGACUUGAACUUAGAAAAAUGGUGUGUAUUGACAUCUUUCCACGGUUGAAAUAAAAUAGCUUCUGAUGUUCAUUCAUGUUUAUUUUGUGCUUUAACUAGACUAGUAAAGAGGAAGAGAGAUCUGUCCCGAUCAUCAAAGAGCCACAAAACGGUAUUCAUUGUUUGAAUUUUGCUAAACUCCUGAUCUUGUGAAAUUUCACCGAGCAGCAAUAUGUGAUCAUAAAUUAGNNNNNNNNNNNNNNNNNNNNNNNNNNNNNNNNNNNNNNNNNNNNNNNNNNNNNNNNNNNNNNNNNNNNNNNNNNNNNNNNNNNNNNNNNNNNNNNNNNNNGCAGUGAUGCUAGCCUUAAUUAAGCUAAAAGAAAACAAAUAUAGCAAAAUAUUUCACUAUAUAUGACCUCUUUACUAAAUAUUCAAACUGAUUAUUGUUUUGAUCGUAUCGAUUCUCUUUUUAAACUGUCAAGCUUGGUUUAGAACGGAGGCCUUCGGACGGAGACGCACACACACCUCCUGUGACAGACAGACACGCUCGAUUUCAUAACAGUCCCUGCAGGCGGGCCGGCCGUCAUAAGUGAAGCAGCAGGCUGAGAGAGUAGAAAACAGGGUAACAGGAGCCAGGCCAGCGCUGGUCAUCCGUCUGCUGCUUAACUCGCUCCCCACAUCCUGUUUUCAGAGAGAUGCCGAUGUCAAUUUACAGAAGAAUUGGUGCCGAAAAAGGCAGUGCGAGCCAGGACGUGGGCACUGAGGCAUUUUUAUCGCCCGCUGGCUUAUACUUCAACAUAUCCCUGACAAACCCACACGGCAGAGCUGAGUGUUUAAGGUAUGACCUAAAAAAGGAGUUAUUAAUCUGUACAACAUCCUUAAACCUUCACAUGAAUACUCCCACAAGUGCUGGAAUCAUGGGAUACGUGUAAUCUCAGCCAGGCCUACAAACGCUACUGUAAAUUGUGUUAAACUACUGUAUAUGACCUUUCUGUAUUUAAAACAGCACAGAAAUAUAACCGCGGGGGUGAAUAUGUGACUAAACGCUAAUGAUGUUCAAUUAUCAUGAGUGGCCUCUCCAUCAUAAUCUACAAACCCUGUGUGGAGAAUUUCACGAACCUGAAAUUACAACCCAAAUUACCCGAGUGAACUUCAACAUUAUAGGUUAUAUACACAACAGACUGCGCAUAAUAUUAUACUCACUUAAAUGGAUAGUUCACCCAAAAAUGAAAAUUCUCCCAUAAUAUAUUCACCGUCAUGUCAUUCCAAACCUGUAAGUCUUUCUUUCUUCUGUGGAACACAAAAGAAGAUAUUUUGUAAAAUACCCUAAAGGGGUUUCUUUGUUUAUUCAGUGAAACUCAAUUGGAUUCAAUGUUGCUUUAGACCUCAACAUUCAACUUCUGCAACACCAAAGUAAAGAUGUUUAUGACAGUCACAGUAGGUAUGUUCACAUCAAUCCAAUCCAAUUUCACAUUCUGAAAGUUUUACUUAUUAUGAUCUCUAAACUUUGCAAUCCAGUUUGUUUAUAUGUGCAUUACAUGUAGCUGUUCCAAAGUCAUACACUUUAAAAGGCAGAAAUAAACAUCCAAUGUGAAUUUUUCAUCUUAAAAAUUUAAGUACAAUCAACUUGGUUGCAAGUCAAUUCAAAACAAACUUAAAAAAUCAUGUUGAAUUUCAUAUAAAUUACAAAAAAA